rnacentral:rRNA from 1 species
CGCCUAAUAAUGCAAGUCGAGCGGACCGAACGAGAGCUUGCUCUUGUUCGGUCAGCGGCGGACGGGUGAGUAACACGUGGGCAACCUGCCCGCAAGACCGGGAUAACUCCGGGAAACCGGAGCUAAUACCGGAUAACACCAAAGACCGCAUGGUCUUUGGUUGAAAGGCGGCUUCGGCUGCCACUUGCGGAUGGGCCCGCGGCGCAUUAGCUAGUUGGUGAGGUAACGGCUCACCAAGGCGACGAUGCGUAGCCGGCCUGAGAGGGUGACCGGCCACACUGGGACUGAGACACGGCCCAGACUCCUACGGGAGGCAGCAGUAGGGAAUCUUCCGCAAUGGACGAAAGUCUGACGGAGCGACGCCGCGUGAGCGAAGAAGGCCUUCGGGUCGUAAAGCUCUGUUGUGAGGGACGAAGGAGCGCCGUUUGAAUAAGGCGGCGCGGUGACGGUACCUCACGAGAAAGCCCCGGCUAACUACGUGCCAGCAGCCGCGGUAAUACGUAGGGGGCGAGCGUUGUCCGGAAUUAUUGGGCGUAAAGCGCGCGCAGGCGGUCCUUUAAGUCUGAUGUGAAAGCCCACGGCUCAACCGUGGAGGGUCAUUGGAAACUGGGGGACUUGAGUGCAGGAGAGGAGAGCGGAAUUCCACGUGUAGCGGUGAAAUGCGUAGAGAUGUGGAGGAACACCAGUGGCGAAGGCGGCUCUCUGGCCUGUAACUGACGCUGAGGCGCGAAAGCGUGGGGAGCAAACAGGAUUAGAUACCCUGGUAGUCCACGCCGUAAACGAUGAGUGCUAAGUGUUAGAGGGGUCACACCCUUUAGUGCUGUAGCUAACGCGAUAAGCACUCCGCCUGGGGGAGUACGGCCGCAAGGCUGAAACUCAAAGGAGUUGACGGGGGCCCGCACAAGCGGUGGAGCAUGUGGUUUAAUUCGAAGCAACGCGAAGAACCUUACCAUGUCUUGACAUCGCCUGACAACCCAAAGAUUGGGCGUUCCCCCUUCCGGGGGACAGGGUGACGGUGUGCAUGGUGUCGUCAGCUCUGUCUGAGAUGUUGGAUUAAGU